AACGAACGCUGGCGGCAUGCCUAACACAUGCAAGUCGAACGAGAUCUUCGGGUCUAGUGGCGCACGGGUGCGUAACGCGUGGGAAUCUGCCCUUGGGUUCGGAAUAAGAGUUGGAAACGACUGCUAAUACCGGAUGAUGACGAAAGUCCAAAGAUUUAUCGCCAGAGGAUGAGCCCGCGUAGGAUUAGCUAGUUGGUGUGGUAAAGGCGCACCAAGGCGACGAUCCUUAGCUGGUCUGAGAGGAUGAUCAGCCACACUGGGACUGAGACACGGCCCAGACUCCUACGGGAGGCAGCAGUGGGGAAUAUUGGACAAUGGGCGAAAGCCUGAUCCAGCAAUGCCGCGUGAGUGAUGAAGGCCUUAGGGUUGUAAAGCUCUUUUACCCGGGAUGAUAAUGACAGUACCGGGAGAAUAAGCUCCGGCUAACUCCGUGCCAGCAGCCGCAGUAA
rnacentral:rRNA from 1 species